rnacentral:rRNA from 1 species
CCCUUAGAUGUCCUGGGCCGCACGCGCGCUACACUGAUGCAUGCAACGAGUUUAUAACCUUGGCCUGAAAGGUCUGGGUAAUCUUUUGAACGUGCAUCGUGAUAGGGAUAGAUUAUUGCAAUUGUUAAUCUUGAACGAGGAAUUCCUAGUAAACGCGAGUCAUCAGCUCGCAUUGAUUACGUCCCUGCCCUUUGUACACACCGCCCGUCGCACCUACCGAUUGAAUGGUUCGGUGAAGAUCUCGGACUUCGAUAUUUAUUCUUUAUUGAGUUUAUAUUGUGGGAAGUUAUCUAAACCUCAUCAUUUAGAGGGAGGUGAAGUCGUAACA